rnacentral:misc_RNA from 1 species
AGUGAAGCAAACAGAUUUGAGAAGGCACAAGUUUGAUGAGUAUUCCGUGUUUCCAAUGACAAACUGAGGGUGCAUGGACGACGGGCCUCAAAUUUAAAUUCCUAAAUCAAGACAAAGGAAGUUGCGAUCCUUCUGAUAUCCUUACCAUUAGUUUUAUCAACUUCAACAUGGCAGAACAGCUAACAGAAGAGCAGAUUGCAGAAUUCAAGGAAGCGUUCAGUUUAUUUGACAAGGAUGGGGACGGUACGAUCAGCAGUAAAGAACUAGGGACCGUGAUGAGGUCCCUGGGCCAAAACCCCACUGAAGCUGAUCUCCAGGACAUGGUCAACGAGGUGGAUGCUGAUGGUAACAAUAUACCGACACCUUCAUUGAAAUAUCUAUUACAUAGAUCUAGUUUUCCAACUUUUUUAUCAUAAACUUUCGGCUCUGUAAAGGUUAUUCUGUGGCAUUAUAUUCAUUCCAUUAAUUGCAACAAAGACGCCUUCUUGAGUGUCUAGCCCAGUACCAUAGAAUAAUGGCUCUCAUCUAGUACUUCCAUAAAGAAAGCAUGUAGAGGGGUUCGCUUUAUUCAUCACUCGGCACAGCUUGGCCAAUUCGUAGGUUACGGAAUCGGCUGAGUUUUGCCGAAUGCUAUAUUCAUAUAUUAACUUCUCUAUGUAAAUUGUGUUAUAGGGGUAAUAUAGAAACUGCAGUUAUCACACGUAUUUAUGAACAAGGUUAAUAAAAAGCAAUGGAACUUCAUUAUUUCUUUGUUCCUGUAAAGGUAAUGGGACGAUAGACUUUCCUGAAUUCUUGACAAUGAUGGCGAGAAAGAUGAAAGACGAGGAUUCAGAGGAAGAACUACGAGAAGCGUUUAAAGUUUUUGAUAAAGACGGAAGUGGCGAUAUCAGCGCAGCCGAAUUACGUCACGUGAUGACAAGUCUCGGAGAAAAGCUAACGGACGAGGAAGUAGACGAGAUGAUACGAGAGGCAGACAUUGACGGUGACGGAAAAGUUAAUUAUGAAGAAUUUGUCCAUAUGAUGACCCAGAAAUAACACUGAACUCCUCCCAACCACCGGUGAUGUUGUGUGAAUGAAAUUCGCGAAUGACGUAAAUUCUAUUCAUCUUUAGUAUUGUCAUGAUCAUACGUGUACAGUUAACGUAAAAGAAACUGUUAGUAGAAUAUUGUUAUACACCAGGGAAAGACUUGGACGUCAGCAUCUGCUCUCCAAGAAUGAUAAAUUCUAAAAUAAAAUGUUAUAAGAAUCGAUUUCUUUACGCAAGGGAAUUGGUUUUGUAUCAAGUAAUUCAAAAGUUGACAAUAAAAUUCUUUAAUUUACUGAUAUUUUCUUGGUGGGUUAAGGAAUGGUAACUCUACCAAUCUUACCCAGUCACUCAGCCGACUUUCAAUGUUUUCUGCUAAUGUUUUGUCAGUAUUAAAUGAGAUAAAUAUCGUUUAAAACAC